UCGAGAAUCUUUCACAAUGGGGGCAACCCUGAUGGAGCGACGCCGCGUGGAGGAUAAGGUCUUCGGAUUGUAAACUCCUGUCAUGUGUGAACAAGGCAGCCGGGCUAAUACCUUGAGCUGAUUGAUGGUAACACAAGAGGAAGAGACGGCUAACUCUGUGCCAGCAGCCGCGGUAAUACAGAGGUCUCAAGCGUUGUUCGGAAUCACUGGGCGUAAAGGGUGCGUAGGUGGCGUGGUAAGUCAGAUGUGAAAGCCCGGGGCUCAACCUCGGAAUUGCAUCCGAUACUGCCGUGCUUGAGUACUGGAGAGGUGACUAGAAUUCUAGGUGUAGCAGUGAAAUGCGUAGAUAUCUAGAGGAAUACCAAAGGCGUAGGCAGGUCACUGGACAGUUACUGACACUGAGGCACGAAGGCCAGGGGAGCAAACGGG
rnacentral:rRNA from 1 species